rnacentral:rRNA from 1 species
GACCUCAAAUCAGGUAGGACUACCCGCUGAACUUAAGCAUUUA